rnacentral:lncRNA from 1 species
UUUGACGGUUAGUCUUGUUCCGAUGCCGUUCUUUUUAGGUUGCGCUCUGCAUUUGAUGUAGUUCGGGCAUAUUUUUAUUUUAUGAAAGUGCAGUGAUGAGUGAUGUGCUCGUGAAUAUAAUUGAUGUGUUGAGCAGAAUUGUCUUAUUGUUUUGGGGCGGUAUAAAUCGAAAUGAAACGGAUUUAAUUAGAGACUUAGUGUUGGAUUUUCUCAAGAUUCGAAGGAGACUAAUGAAUGCUUCAUUGAGUAGAAGUUGGAGACGUAAUCUUGAAAGUAAACGAAACGGAAGUAAUAAGGUUUAGUACAAAAGAAGUUUUAAAAUGUCUCCGGCUGUCUACAGAUCCUGUUACUCUAAAAAUUAAACGAGAUCCGAAAAUAAAAGCGACUGUUCGCAAACACCUCCUCACUGGUGGCGGAGGCGAUAUCAGAGACAAAACAGCCAAAACCCCCUCUCUACACUCCUCUAGUGCAGCCUCUCUGUCGGCCAGACCUGAACCUUCUAUCCACAAGACUCAUCAUCAUGCUUCACGAGCUGGUGCGGCUACUACGAAUGGAAGUUAUGUUGAACCAGAACGCGAACCUUUACUCGGAAACCAUCUUCAGGAAGUUCAAUCGCUCGAAGAGAAUGAGAGAUUGCAAUGGCAACCGUUAGCUGGUAAUGAGAAUAAAUCGAAGGGGCAACCAAAGUUUGAAGCGUACAUGAUGACCGGAGAGCAUAUUUUGAAUAUAUCACGGAUACCUCCCAUUAACACCAUCGUGCCCAAGCAACAGAAA